rnacentral:rRNA from 1 species
AUGGACUUGCCGGUUGUUGAAAAACCUGUACCGGCUAUUCUUAUGAAUUGUGAUAACCAAACGGUUAUCGCUAAAGUGAACAAUUCUAAAGAUAAUGCAAAGUCAUCAAGACACGUGAAAAGACGUUUGAAGUCUGUCAGGAAGUUGAGAAACUCCGGAGUAAUAACUGUUACGUAUAUACAAACAGACAAAAACCUGGCAGAUCCCUUUACAAAGGGACUAUCACGAAAUGUGAUAGAUAUUGCAUCGAGGGAGAUGGGUAUGAGACCCAUAGCAGUCUUGAAAGAACACACCUAUAUGAGUUCUGGCUGUAAACGUCGCAGUCUAUGA